rnacentral:rRNA from 1 species
GAUGAACGCUGGCGGCGUGCUUAACACAUGCAAGUCGAACGAUGAAACCCAGCUUGCUGGGUGGAUUAGUGGCGAACGGGUGAGUAACACGUGAGUAACCUGCCCUUAACUCUGGGAUAAGCCUGGGAAACUGGGUCUAAUACCGGAUAGGAGCGUCCACCGCAUGGUGGGUGUUGGAAAGAUUUAUCGGUUUUGGAUGGACUCGCGGCCUAUCAGCUUGUUGGUGAGGUAAUGGCUCACCAAGGCGACGACGGGUAGCCGGCCUGAGAGGGUGACCGGCCACACUGGGACUGAGACACGGCCCAGACUCCUACGGGAGGCAGCAGUGGGGAAUAUUGCACAAUGGGCGCAAGCCUGAUGCAGCGACGCCGCGUGAGGGAUGACGGCCUUCGGGUUGUAAACCUCUUUCAGUAGGGAAGAAGCGAAAGUGACGGUACCUGCAGAAGAAGCACCGGCUAACUACGUG